AACGAACGCUGGCGGCAGGCUUAACACAUACAAGUCGAGCGCCCCGCAAGGGGAGCGGCAGACGGGUGAGUAACGCGUGGGAAUCUACCCAUCUCUACGGAAUAACGCAUGGAAACGUGUGCUAAUACCGUAUACGUCCUUCGGGAGAAAGAUUUAUCGGAGAUGGAUGAGCCCGCGUUGGAUUAGCUAGUUGGUGGGGUAAAGGCCUACCAAGGCGACGAUCCAUAGCUGGUCUGAGAGGAUGAUCAGCCACACUGGGACUGAGACACGGCCCAGACUCCUACGGGAGGCAGCAGUGGGGAAUAUUGGACAAUGGGCGCAAGCCUGAUCCAGCCAUGCCGCGUGAGUGAUGAAGGCCCUAGGGUUGUAAAGCUCUUUCACCGGUGAAGAUAAUGACGGUAACCGGAGAAGAAGUCCCGGCUAACUUCGUGCCAGCCGCCGCAGUAAUAC
rnacentral:rRNA from 1 species